rnacentral:rRNA from 1 species
AACGAACGCUGGCGGCAUGCCUAACACAUGCAAGUCGAACGAGACCUUCGGGUUUAGUGGCGAACGGGUGCGUAACGCGUUGGAACCUGCCCUUAGGUUCGGCAUAACUCCCUGAAAUGGGUGCUAAUACCGGAUAAUGUCAUCGGACCAAAGAUUUAUCGCCUUUGGAUGGGCCCGCGUUGGUUUAGCUAGUUGGUAGGGUAAAAGCCUACCAAGGCGACGAUCCAUAGCUGGUCUGAGAGGAUGAUCAGCCACACUGGGACUGAGACACGGCCCAGACUCCUACGGGAGGCAGCAGAGGGGAAUAUUGGACAAUGGGCGAAAGCCUGAUCCAGCAAGGCCGCGUGAGUGAUGAAGGCCUUAGGGUUGUAAAGCUCUUUUACCCGGGAUGAUAAUGACAGUACCGGGAGAAUAAGCUCCGGCUAACUCCGUG